GGAAUGUCAGCACCUGGAUUGUUUCAUUAAUUUCUGUCUCAAAGUUCUCCUGUCCCAGCAGGCCAGGAAACAGUGAUGUGGAGCCUUCAGCACUCGGUUCCCUUCUGAGCCAAGAGGAAUCAGACAAGUUCUGAAUUCCUCUACCUUGGUGGCCGCAUGGUCUCCUCGAAGCGCUGAGCUGCCAAGCAGCAGCAGUGAGGAGCCAGGGCUGGUGCAGUCCUCAGUGGUUCCUAGACACUUCCCUUGACACAAGCACCAGACAGAAGAACCAUGACAAGCUGGGAAAAUCUUGGUUUGGGAGAUUGCAACAUCCUCCGUUAUUUUCUAUUUUAGCAUCUCGAUGUAAAGACUAAGAAGACUGGAAGACUAAACUACAGAACCAGCAGGACUGUGAAGACUUUUGGCUGCAGUUUCCACUGGGCUGUGAUAGUUAACAGCUCAAAAAAAAACCUGAGGAUAUAAAAUCAAAAAGUUGAGUUUCUUACAUGCUUGCUUGUAGCUGAGUAUUUAGACAAUUUAGCUGGGGGAGUGGGGAGGAGGAGGAAGCCCCAAACCAAAACUCAUUGCAAAAAGUGACAGCAAGAAGGCAGCAGGAGAAGAAGCUGGAUCUUGAAG
rnacentral:lncRNA from 1 species